UCGCAUCGAGACGGGCCCGCGGCCCAUUAGCUUGUUGGUGAGGUAACGGCUCACCAAGGCUGCGAUGGGUAGCUGGUCUGAGAGGACGAUCAGCCACACUGGGACUGAGACACGGCCCAG
rnacentral:rRNA from 1 species